rnacentral:rRNA from 1 species
GCGAGUGACCGGGAAGAGCUCAAAUUUGAAAUCUGGCUGUCUUCGAUAGUCCGAGUUGUAAUCUAUAGAAGUGUUUUCCGUGCUGAACUGUGUCUAAGUCCCUUGGAACAGGGUAUCAAAGAGGGUGAUAAUCCCGUACUUGACACAAUCAUCAGUGCUCUGUGAUACACUCUCUACGAGUCGAGUUGUUUGGGAAUGCAGCUCAAAAUGGGUGGUAAAUUCCAUCUAAAGCUAAAUAUUGGCGAGAGACCGAUAGCGAACAAGUACCGUGAGGGAAAGAUGAAAAGCACUUUGGAAAGAGAGUUAAACAGUACGUGAAAUUGUUGAAAGGGAAACGAUUGAAGUCAGUCGUGUUCAUUGGAUUCAGCUAGUUCUUCUAGUCUACUUCCUUUGAACGGGUCAACAUCAGUUUUGUCCGGUGGAUAAAGGCAGUAGGAAUGUGGCUUCUUCGGAAGUGUUAUAGCCUAUUGUCACAUACACUGGAGGAGACUGAGGACUGCAGCUCGCCUUUUGGCCGGGGUUCGCCCACGUUCGAGCUUAGGAUGUUGACAUAAUGGCUUUAAACGACCC